rnacentral:miRNA from 1 species
UGGGGUUGACCAAAAAGUUUGUUUGGGUUUUUCCAUAAGAUGUGAUGGAAGAACCUGAACAAACUUUGGCCAACCCAAU